UAAACGACUCUCGGCAACGGAUAUCUCGGCUCACGCAUCGAUGAAGAACGUAGCAAAAUGCGAUACUUGGUGUGAAUUGCAGAAUCCCGUGAACCAUCGAGUUUUUGAACGCAAGUUGCGCCCAAAGCCAUUCGGUCGAGGGCACGUCUGCCUGGGCGUCACGC
rnacentral:rRNA from 2 species